GUUACUCACAUGUGCCAUUACGUAAGUAAGAAUAAUUUGCUUUUUCUAAGAACAAAUUUCCAUCUGAGUUUUUAUGGAAGAAUGCAAUCAAAUUCUGUAGAUGGAAGUCAAUUAGAACCUGAGGUGCAUGGUGUUCAUCCAACUGCAGUUUAUUCUGAACUAAAGUGGCCUAAUGUCGUUUAUGGUUCCAUCUCCACGGGAUUGAGAGGAGUAAACUCAUUAAAUUUAUCUUCAAUGGAAUGCUCUAAUGGUUCAGGGUAAAAUGAUGGGCAUUCACUAUCCAACGGUGGGCUGAAUGAAGAGGAUGGUGUUAAUAAAGAAACACAAAAUACCGCAUCCUCUUGGGCAGUUGGAAAUGGCGGACAAGAACAUCACGAUUUGCAGUUUGUUGCAUCUACUGUACCCGUUAUGCGUGAUGAAGGCCUCACGCAGCCUCCCCUUCUCGAGCUUGUUUAUCAUUCAAUUGCAUGUGCAUCAAAUCCAUAUAUGGAUCCACAUUAUGAAGGAAUGAUGGCAGCUUAUGGACAUCAGCCUUUGAUAUUGGAGCUUUGGUCUGUCUAUCAAU